rnacentral:rRNA from 1 species
UACAGAGGAGCCAAGCGUUGUCCGGAUUGACUGGGCGUAAAGCGCACGCAGGCGGGUGCGCGCGUGGGGGGUGAAACCAGGUGGCUUAACUGCCUGUCGCCAUCCCAUACGGCGCGCCUGGAGCCAUCCAGAGGUCGGUGGAAUUGCCGGUGUAGUGGUGAAAUGCGUAGAUAUCGGGAGGAACACCUGUGGCGAAGGCGGCUCACUGGACCACAACUGACGCUGAGGCGCGAAAGCUAGGGGAGCAAACAGG